UAAAAUUUAACGACUUCUUUUGUCCAGGGGGUUUAGCUUUAACGAUGACUGGCAGAGUCUCAAAGAUGGGCUGGUUUGGAAGCAAAUACAUUGAAUUUGUGCGAGAUAUAUUUUAUUUAUUAUUUAAAUGCAAAUAAAAGGGGUGGUAUAGAUGUUGAAACAAAGGUAAGAAAAAAAAUCAAAAAAAUUCGCGUAUUUUCCGUGUUAGUUUUCUACCUGAUAAAAAUUUGUUAUAACAUGUAUUUUAAAAGUUCUUGGUCUUACCCAGACCUUUCAUUUGGUGUACCGAAAAAGGGGCCGGCCCCUAUAAUUAGGGAGUUAGAGGCGUCCAAAGUUUCUUGUCAAUAACUUAAAAAGGAAUAAAAAUUUCUAAUGCAUUAUUGAAGCAAAGUUGUAAGAAAUUAAUUUUGAAUCCUUCCAUGGUAUUCAAUUUAAUGUUUUCGUAAUUUAUAGUCAGUAUUUGCAGAAACAAUUGUUGUCAGUUCGGUCCAUUUUUGUGGGGGUGCGCACGUUUAUGAGGUUAUGAAAGGGCUUCUUGUAAUGCACUAACUGAUACAUGUAGCGCGCAAAAAUAAUUCCACAUAAAAUUCCCAAAUGUUUUUAUUCAUAUGUACAUUUUCAUUUCAUAAAGAUGAACCUCUUUGACCUUAUUUUUGUUGUUUGUUUCAUUACUGUGCCCCUGUCUAUAUUUAGAUGCAUUGCGAGACUCAGGUAACCGAUCGAUAGGCGAGUCGCUAGCUGUAUUCAGGCCGUCGCCUAGACGACAGACUGGUGUAUGUGCUUGUAGAGCUGGACGUACACGUUUAACGCCCCACUGUGUUACUGUAACAGAGACAUUUUGAAUUGUUUCAGUACUGGGAGAUGUGUUAAUAAAAUGGUUCCAAUGCAUGGUAAUU
rnacentral:sRNA from 1 species